rnacentral:lncRNA from 1 species
CCAGAUGUGGACAAGAUCAUCAUACAAAUAAACUCUGCCGCGGAAGCAACUCUACUGGGGAAAUUAUCAGAGGGGAGGAUGGAUCUCUGUGGGGAACAACCACCAAUCAGAAGCUUCCAAGGUCAUCACCAUAUACUGCACUACCAAAGAGAUCACAUCCGCCGAGGAGGAAGGAUCGUUACUCCGCUGAAGGAAGAUAGACUUCUUCAUCGACCACUCUGCUCGGGAGGAAACCAC